rnacentral:rRNA from 1 species
GACGAACGCUGGCGGCGUGCUUAACACAUGCCAGUCGAACGGAAAGGCCCUGCUUUUGUGGGGUGCUCGAGUGGCGAACGGGUGAGUAACACGUGAGUAACCUGCCCUUGACUCUGGGAUAACUUCAGGAAACUGGGGCUAAUACCGGAUAGGAGCUCCUGCUGCUUGGUGGGGGUUGGAAAGUUUCGGCGGUUGGGGAUGGAUUGGCGGCGUAUCCGCUUGUUGGUGGGGUAGUGGCUUACCAAGGCUUUGACGGGUAGGCGGCCUGAGGGGGUGACCGGCCACAUAGGGAGGGAGUGAGGGCCCGCCCAGAUGCGGGAGGGAGGAGGGGGGAGAGAUUGACAGGGGGGGGGAGCCGGACGGAACAAGGCCGGGGGCGGGAGGGCGGCUUGGGGGUGGAAAGCCAAUUUCGCUUAUAAGGGAGGGUAAUGACGGGAAUUGGGUAAGAAGCCCCGGCUAACUACGUG